CACUGGGACUGAGACACGGCCCAGACUCCUACGGGAGGCAGCAGUGGGGAAUCUUAGACAAUGGGCGAAAGCCUGAUCUAGCCAUGCCGCGUGAGUGACGAAGGCCUUAGGGUCGUAAAGCUCUUUCGCCAGAGAUGAUAAUGACAGUAUCUGGUAAAGAAACCCCGGCUAACUUCGUGCCAGCAGCCGCGGUAAU
rnacentral:rRNA from 1 species